AUGUGUGCUUUUGUAGUGCAGGGUUAUUUCAGGCAGAACAAGACAUCUCCUCUGGAGGAUGGCAUUUGUGGCUGUCAUUCGAGAAGACUGCUGGCAGAGAUGGGGCACGUAACUGCAUAAACCACUAGCCUGAUCUUCUGGGCAGAUGCUUCCUUCUAAGAUGGUUUGGAGAUAUGAUUUACCACUCCUUUGAGACAAGUGUCUUUCAGCCCAACAGAGGUGCAAAGUCUCUGCAGGAUGGGUUGCUUUACUUAGAAAAUCUUCUGGGAGACAGAGACGAGAAUUAUUUUUUGUGGUAUCCAAACUGGUAUGACUUGUACUUUAAUCAUAAGAAAACAAACCAGUGCAGACGGACAGGAAACCUAUGGCUGAAACUGAAAUGCUGCUGACUGGGCAGGCUCCCAGAUCCCCCAGGUAUGAGUCCUCUCCUACUUUGCUCAGCAUGAGCCCAGGGCAUAGCUGUGAGCUGUACUGCUUCAUACAGACUCAGACCCAACAGAGGAAUCAUCAAGCAAAAG
rnacentral:lncRNA from 1 species